rnacentral:rRNA from 1 species
UAGGGAAUCUUCCGCAAUGGGCGAAAGCCUGACGGAGCAACGCCGCGUGAGUGAAGAAGGAUUUCGGUUCGUAAAACUCUGUUGUUAGAGAAGAACAGCGCAUAGAGUAACUGUUAUGCGUGUGACGGUAUCUAACCAGAAAGCCACGGCUAACUACGUGCCAGCAGCCGCGGUAAUACGUAGGUGGCAAGCGUUGUCCGGAUUUAUUGGGCGUAAAGCGAGCGCAGGCGGUCAAUUAAGUCUGAUGUGAAAGCCCCCGGCUCAACCGGGGAGGGUCAUUGGAAACUGGUUGACUUGAGUGCAGAAGAGGAGAGUGGAAUUCCAUGUGUAGCGGUGAAAUGCGUAGAUAUAUGGAGGAACACCAGUGGCGAAGGCGACUCUCUGGUCUGUAACUGACGCUGAGGCUCGAAAGCGUGGGUAGCAAACAGG